UCAAUAUGGUGACCUCCCGGGAG
rnacentral:piRNA from 2 species